AGCGAACGUUUGCGGCGGGCCUAACACAUGCAAGUCGAACGCACUAGCAAUAGUGAGUGGCGCACGGGUGCGUAACACGUGGGUAAUCAACCCUUCAGCCUGGGAUAACGACUCGAAAGGGUCGCUAAUACCGGAUACGGCGCGAGAGGCUUCGGCUUCUCACGAGAAAGCCACGCAAGGGGCACUGAAGGACGAGCCUGCGGCCCAUCAGCUAGUUGGUGAGGUAAGAGCUCACCAAGGCUAAGACGGGUAGCUGGUCUGAGAGGAUGAUCAGCCACACUGGAACUGAGACACGGUCCAGACUCCUACGGGAGGCAGCAGUGGGGAAUAUUGCGCAAUGGCGAAAGCCUGACGCAGCCACGCCGCGUGAGCGAUGAAGGCCUCGGUCGUAAGACGUACUGUGGGAGGUAGACGAAGAAAGA
rnacentral:rRNA from 1 species